CGUAAUCAUUAUCAUUCGUU
rnacentral:miRNA from 1 species